GACGAACGCUGGCGGCGUGCUUAACACAUGCAAGUCGAACGGUAAGGCCCUUCGGGGUACACGAGUGGCGAACGGGUGAGUAACACGUGGGUGAUCUGCCCUGCACUUCGGGAUAAGCCUGGGAAACUGGGUCUAAUACCGGAUAGGACUCCUGGCUUCAUGGUGGGGGGUGGAAAGCUGUUGCGGUGUGGGAUGGGCCCGCGGCCUGUCAGCGUGUUGGUGGGGUAAUGGCCUACCAAGGCGACGACGGGUAGCCGGCCUGAGAGGGUGACCGGUCACACUGGGACUGAGAUACGGCCCAGACUCCUACGGGAGGCAGCAGUGGGGAAUAUUGCACAAUGGGCGCAAGCCUGAUGCAGCGACGCCGCGUGAGGGAUGACGGCCUUCGGGUUGUGAACCUCUUUCAGCUAUGACGAAGCGCAAGCGACGGUAGUAGCAGAAGAAGGACCGGCCAACUACGUGCCAGCAGCCGCCGUAA
rnacentral:rRNA from 1 species